rnacentral:rRNA from 1 species
UAAACAUUGAUACAUUAUUACAUCUAUCAAUCCGCCCGGGUACUACAAGCACUAGCUUAAAACCCAAAGGACUUGGCGGUGCUUAAGAUCCCCCUAGAGGAGCCUGUUCUAGAACCGAUAAUCCACGUUUAACCUCACCCUUUCUUGUUUCUCCCGCCUAUAUACCGCCGUCGUCAGCUUACCCUGUGAAGGUCCAAUAGUGAGCAAAAAUGGCACAGCCCAAAACGUCAGGUCGAGGUGUAGCGCAUGAAAGGGAAAGAAAUGGGCUACAUUCUCUAAAAUAGAAGCACACGGACAAUAUAUUGAAACAUAUAUUUUAAGGAGGAUUUAGCAGUAAGUAGAAAUUAGAAUAUUCCACUGAACUCGGCUCUAAAGCGCGC